UACGAAGGGGGGCUAGCGUUGCUCGGAAUCACUGGGCGUAAAGCGCACGUAGGCGGAUCUUUAAGUCAGGGGUGAAAUCCUGGAGCUCAACUCCAGAACUGCCUUUGAUACUGAGGAUCUUGAGUUCGGGAGAGGUGAGUGGAACUGCGAGUGUAGAGGUGAAAUUCGUAGAUAUUCGCAAGGACACCAGUGGCGAAGGCGGCUCACUGGCCCGAUACUGACGCUGAGGCACGAAAGCGUGGGGAGCAAACAGGG
rnacentral:rRNA from 1 species